rnacentral:rRNA from 1 species
GACGAACGCUGGCGGCGUGCUUAACACAUGCAAGUCGAACGAUGAACCGGGGCUUGCCCUGGGGAUUAGUGGCGAACGGGUGAGUAACACGUGGGCAACCUGCCCCUGACUCUGGGAUAACUCCGGGAAACCGGGGCUAAUAUCGGAAACGAGCCUCCACGACAUCGUCUAGGCUGGAAAGUUUUUCGGGUAGGGAUGGGACCGCGGCCUAUCAGCUUGUUUGUGUGGUAACGGCCCACCAAGGGGACGACGGGUAGGCGGCCUGAGAGGGCGACCGGCCACACUGGGACUGAGACACGGCCCAGACUCCUACGGGAGGCAGCAGUGGGGAAUAUUGCGCAAUGGGCGAAAGCCUGACGCAGCGACGCCGCGUGAGGGACGACGGCCGUCGGGUUGUAAACCUCUUUCAGCAGGGACGAAGCGAAAGUGACGGUACCUGCAGAAGAAGCACCGGCCAACUACGUGCCAGCAGCCGCGGUAAGAC